GACGGAGGAUGCAAGUGUUAUCCGGAAUCACUGGGCGUAAAGCGUCUGUAGGUGGUUUAAAAAGUCUACUGUUAAAAAUUGAAGCUUAACUUCAAAGAUGCCGUAGAAACUUUUAAACUCGAGGAUGGUAGGGGUAAAGGGAAUUUCCAGUGGAGCGGUGAAAUGCGUAGAUCUUGGAAAGACCACCAAUGGCGAAGGCACUCUACUGGGCCAUUACUGACACUAAGAGACGAAAGCUAGGGGAGCAAAUGGG
rnacentral:rRNA from 1 species